GACGAACGCUGGCGGCGUGCUUAACACAUGCAAGUCGAACGGAAAGGCCCUGCGUUUGUGGGGUGCUCGAUUGGCGAACGGGUGAGUAACACGUGAGUAACCUGCCCUUGACUUUCGGAUAACUUCAGGAAACUGGGGCUAAUACCGGAUAGGAGCUCCUGCUGCAUGGUGGGGGUUGGAAAGUUUCGGCGGUUGGGGAUGGACUCGCGGCUUAUCAGCUUGUUGGUGGGGUAGUGGCUGACCAAGGCUUUGACGGGUAGCCGGCCUGAGAGGGUGACCGGCCACAAUGGGACUGAGAUACGGACCAGACUGCUACGGGAGGCAGCAGUGGGAAAUAUUGCACAGUGGGCGGAAGCCUGAUGCAGCAACGCCGCGUGCGGGAUGACCGCCUUCGGGUUGUAAACCGCUUUCGCCUGUGACGAAGCGUGAGUGACGGUAAUGGAUAAAGAAGCACCGGCUAACUACGUG
rnacentral:rRNA from 1 species